AUUGAACGCUGGCGGCAUGCCUUACACAUGCAAGUCGAACGGCGGCACGGAGCUUGCUCUGGUGGCGAGUGGCGAACGGGUGAGUAAUAUAUCGGAACGUACCCAAGAGUGGGGGAUAACGUAGCGAAAGUUACGCUAAUACCGCAUACGAUCUCAGGAUGAAAGCAGGGGACCUUCGGGCCUUGUGCUCCUGGAGCGGCCGAUAUCUGAUUAGCUAGUUGGUGGGGUAAAGGCCCACCAAGGCAACGAUCAGUAGCUGGUCCGAGAGGACGACCAGCCACACUAGAACUGAGACACGGUCCAGACUCCUACGGGAGGCAGCAGUGGGGAAUUUUGGACAAUGGGGGCAACCCUGAUCCAGCAAUGCCGCGUGAGUGAAGAAGGCCUUCGGGUUGUAAAGCUCUUUUGUCAGGGAAGAAAAGGGAUUGGCUAAUAUCUAGUCCUCAUGACGGUACCUGAAGAAUAAGCACCGGCUAACUACGUGCCAGCCGCCGCGGUAA
rnacentral:rRNA from 1 species